GGGGACGACCGGAAUUGACAGCUUGCUGAGGUCGCGUGUAAGCAUGCCGGGAGUUGACGGUAUUUCCUGCCCAAACAAAUCGUCGAAACAAUAACUGGCGAAUAUAACUACGCCAUGGCUGCCUAAUUCGGAGAAUUAAGCAAUAGCCAUCGUCUCCCCGACCUACGUACUGCUGGUUGGAUCAGGGGGCGUCGACUCGCAGUGCUGGCCCGGCUAAUGGUGUUAACACCGGGCGAGAUCCAAGCACCUACGGCAAUUGGUCGGUCUGAUUCGAACCAGCCCCUUGCCCGACAAUCCAAUCGAAUCUAAGCAUGUAGAAAGCGCGUUGGUUUCCUUGACUGGACGAGAGUUCGAAUCUCUCCGUCUCCACGU
rnacentral:tmRNA from 1 species